GGCGGGACUAGAACCUAGGGCCCCGGCCCUACGCCAUGCCGCUUCGUCCUGUUCUUAGUUUUCUUCUGUCUGUAGACAUGAUCCCUGUCCUUGAGGAACUUUCCAUCUCCCAGUGCCGUGAGGUUACAGUGGGAGUCUGUGAUUUCCUGACUCUCAGGCCCCUCGACCGCGCUCCUGACCCCGUUCACCUCUUCCACCCGCGCGGUAGCUGAUCCCCAAGGGAUUAUUUGAUACGACCGUUAAGGCUCCCUCUCCUUCCCUUCCUCUCCCAGAGGCAACUGUUUAUCGCUUCUCGACCUUUCCCUCGGAAACGAUCGCUUGAACGCGAACUCUGAAAUACGGCCGCGGCGGCCUGGAAAUUCUGCCCGUCGUUAACGAACCAGAAUGGGAAGAUCCAUCAGUGGAAAGACCUUUUCAUACCAAAAUAUCAGAUUACAGCGAUUUAAUGCUUAGGGCUGAGCUCGGAAAAGAGGCUGAAAGCAUUGUAGAAUUCUAUUACAGGUUCACAUUUCUCCUGGUCCAGUGUUCGAAUCCAGUGUUUCCCUUGUCGACGCAGAAGUUGACGGAAUCCAUCUUCUCUGGCACCGAUCUGGAAGUUGGAAUCUACUAUAGAAUUCUAAUUAGAAAGGAUGUCACCAGAAGACAGGCUGCCUAAAUCUGAAAAUGCUUUAAGAAAGAUUCCCCCAAACUCAUUACAAUAAAAACAGAAAUUGCUAAAUUUUCACAUAAACAAAAGCAGAACAUCUUCUUUUUAGAUCGUUCACCCAACGAAUUUUCUUAAAAUUGCAAAUGAUGGCCAAGCUUCGGCCUUGUGAAACGGUUAAUUGAAAAUGUGGAUGGAGAAAACAAGCGCUGGAGUCUUUUUUCAGUGGGGAAAGCGGGAGCGUGAGAAUGAACGCUAAUUUUAACUUCGCACGGAGACCGGCUGGUGUCAGAAGGGUUAGUUUCCACAGUAACUUCCCAGAACUCCAGUCGGGCUACGACGACGGCUAAUCGCCACUUGCUCCAACUUGCUCAAGGUAAGUUGAAAUGGAACCUUCAUUGAGGUACCUUCAUUUUGUGGACUGAAGUGAAGUGAAGGCCUCUUCAAUUAAGCGGUGAAAAGAGAUGGACAGACAGACAGGCAGACGGGGAGAGACCUGCAGGGAAAC